rnacentral:lncRNA from 10 species
GGCUGGGGCAGGAGAAUGGCGUGAACCCGGGAGGCGGAGCUUGCAGUGAGCCGAGACCGCGCCACUGCACUCCAGCCUGGGCGACAGAGCGAGACUCCGUCUCAAAAAAACAAAAACAAAACAAAUCAACAACUCAAAGCAACAUAAAAGCAUAGAAAUUCUAAUGGUUUUAUUUUGGACAUUUAUAUUUUUGUCAUUAUUUCCAAACUGUUAUAGCUCAACCAAAAGUAGGCACCAAGGCAAUGUGCCAAAUUUUUCCUUCUUUCACUUUGUAACAUAAAUUGUAUCGUAGCACUAUGACAAAAAUAAAUUCAAGUAUUAUGAUAAUUUAUCUACUUGAAAACAUAAUGUGGUCUAAAUUUAUCAUUUAAUGAUACAUAUAGAGCUAAAAAGGUAAAUUUGGAUUGAACCAUUUCUGCGUAAGGCUGGGAAAAUAAAUCUGAAUAAAAUUUGAUAACCAGGAAUGUUCAUCAAAUAAACAAGACAUUCUUAGGGUUUUAACAUAGCUACAUAUAUAUACUUUGAUAGAGAAUUUUUUAAGUUAUCCAUCAAACAGGACAAUAUAUUUUCAUCAAAAAUAAUGCACAAGAAAAAAAGAUGAUAAAAAUAAAAAUGCAUUUUAGGUUCAGUCUAAGCAUAAAGAAAUUUUUUUUUUUUUUUUGAGACAGGGCCUUACUGUAUCACCCAGGCUGGAGUGCAGUGGCACAAUUAUGGCUCACUGCAGACUCAGACGAUCCUCCCACCUCAGCCUCCUGAGUAGCUGGCGUGUACCAUCACACCUGGCUAAUUUUUAUAUUUUUUGUAGAGAUGAGGUUUUGCCAUGUUGCCCAGGCUGAAUAAGUUAUUAAAAUCAUGGUAGUGGUUUCACUUAUGGAGCACAAUAUGCCAGGUACUUUGCUUUCUUUGUAUUAACUCUUAUUCCUCACAACAAUUCUGAAGUAUUACUGUAACUACCAACAUGUUAUAGAUGAGGAAACAAAGAGAAGUUAAGCAACUUGCUCCAGUGACGCAGCUGGUAAGCAGCAGAGCUGGGAUUAAAACCCAGGCAUUCUGAUUCCACCACCUACACACUUAGCCAUUCCGCCCCACUGAGAAUGAAAAUGUCAAAAAAUACUAGGCCAGUAAGUGUUAGCAAGGCAAGAAAUUUCCACACCAAAGGUGAGUAUGUUGUUUGGAAAGAUUGGGAUGGAAAUGAGUAAAGUAUGUUUCUUUUUAAAAGUCUUUUAGUAAGCUUUAAAGCUCUAUAUGUAAGAAGCAGAUGAAAAUACCAAGUGAAUUUUUAGAUUUGAUGUUAUGUAAGGUUUUGUUUUGUUAAUUAAAAUUUGGUCAUUUUGUGUGUGUGUGUGUCUGUGUGUGUGUGUGUGUGUGUGGUGAGAAUAUACCAGUGAUAUCCAAUCACCAAAAUUUUCUUUUUUUUUUUUUUGAGACAGUCUCACUCUGUCAGCCAGGCUGGAUUGCAGUGGCGUGCUCUUGGUUUACUGCAGCCUCGAUCUCCUAGGCUCAAGUCAUCCUCCCACCUCGGGUCCCAAGCUGGGACUACAGGCACACAUCACCACACCCAGCUAAUUUUUGUAUUUUCCCAGAAAGGGGUUUCACUAUGUUGGCCAGGCUGGUCUCAAACUCCUGGCCUCAAGUGAUCCACCCGCCUCAGCCUUCCAAAGUGCUGGAAUUACGGGUGUGAGCCACCAUGCCCGGCCUAGAAUUUUCUGUAUGGUAUUAGGCAUAAAAUAACUAGCUUUCUUUGCACACUAUGCUAGACUCAGUAAUUUUAAUGUUGGAGAGCUGUGCAUCUUCAUCUAAAAUCUGUAGAACCCUGAGUGUCUUCUGAUAAGAAUCUAUAACAAAUAUAAAGAUAUAAUCCUUUUUUUUUUUAGACAGAGUCUUGCACUGUCACCUGAGCUGGAGUGCAAUGGCACGAUCUUGGCUCAAUGCAACCUCCACCUCCCGGCUUCACGUGAUUCUCCUGCCUCAGCUUCCCGAGUAGCUGGGAUUACAGGCGCACACCACCACACCCAGCUUAUUUUUUGUACUUUUAAUAGAGAUGGGGUUUCACUAUGUUGGCCAGACUGGUCUCGAACUCCUGACCUGGUGAUCCUUCCACCUUGGCCACCCAAAGUGCUGGGAUUACAGGUGUGAGCCACUGCGCCCAGCAAAGAUAUAAUCCUUUAAGGGAUUAUAUUAUUGAUUCUGUUAAAGACAAAUUAUCUUUAUUAUAAUAAAGACAUAAUCCUUGAAAGGAUUAUAUUAUUGAUCUUUAAAGAUCAUGAUUAAGAAUGCCUCACCUCUCAGAGCAAGAUCAUACUUUUUUUUAACACAGUAAGAAGGAAAUUGCAAAAAAACAAGGGACACACACCAACUGAAGAGUUUCACAUUCUUAUUUCCUACCAAGUGGAAUGUCAAGAAACACAUGCAGACAUUAUAUGUUCUCACUUGAUGCAGAUAUGAGACCUCUCUCUGGAAAAAGGCUCACAAAACUUUAGCAUAUCUUGCUUAAGAAAAAUAGUCCGCAGUCACAGGCUGCAAAGGAAAAGCCUAUAUACAGCAAUGUCAGAGGAAUCUCAGACCUCAGGUAGGGGAGUUUCUUAGUGUCAGAUUCACCUGAAUCAUCCCUCUUACAAACAAGUAUUACUGUGCAAUUUCUUGACUGUUUUUCCACUUAUGAUCCAAGUGGUACCAACAAUGCACUGUGUUAGGCUAAUGAGAGAACCUUUUAAGCCAAGUGAAGCUAAAAGAUAUAACAUGCUCUUCAAAUGAAGAGAGAAAAAUGUAAUGAAAGGACUGCAAAAAGUAGCAUAUGCAUGCCAAACUCAAAAGAACCUAUAUGACCGUCAGCACCACAUUAAUAAAAGGAAAUGUACCAUAGUUACCAGCUUACAAGACAUAUUUUUACUUUAAAAGACUCCAAAAAUUGGCCAGGUGCGGUGGCUCACACCUGUAAUCCCAGAACUUUGGGAGGCCGAGGCGGGUGGAUCACGAAGUCAGGAGAUCGAGACCAUUCUGGCUAACACGGUGAAACCCCGUCUCUACCAAAAAUACAAAAAAUUAGCCGGGCAUGGUGGCGGGCGCCUGUAGUCCCAGCUACUCGGGAGGCUGAGGCAGGAAAAUGGCGUGAACUCGGGAGGUGGAGCUUGCAGUGAGCCGAGAUGGCACCACUGCACUCCAGCCUGGGCGACAGAGCAAGACUCCGUCUCAAAAAAACAAACAAACAAACAAACAAAAAAACUCCAAAAAUUAUAUUGUAUUAAAUAUGCCCAUAUUACAGAUAAAGGCCAGUACAAGAGAAAUAGGGCUUAGGGUCUUAGGUAAGCAAUUACUGAAAACUGAGUACCUACCUACCCCUAGUGGCAAAGUGUGGAGGAAAACUAUCAUAGCAAGAUUCACAGUGCAUCCAUUAACUACAAAAUUAGCUACAAAAAUAAGCCAAAGGCUACCCAACUGACUUAGAGGUAAAGUUUAAAUUAAUCCCCAGCAUGUAAGGUGUAAACUCAUCAUUCCUACAACUCAUGGCUCAAAAGCAAAGAAGGUAGUAGGUUCAAGCUUCAUGUAACCCCUAAAUGUUUGGAACGUAAUUAGAACUUGGGGCAGAAUUUUGAGGAUGAUGACUAAUCUAGUGAAUCCAAAGAAUGACAAUGAUAAAGAGAUCAAAUCAUGUAGACUUGAGCUGUGAUGAUGGCCUUCUGGUUUUGAAUAUGAUCAUUUACUUGGCUUUACCAAUAGCUAUUCAUUUAUCAAUAACUAUUCGUAAGUCUUUUUUUUUUUUUUUUUUUUUGUAUUUUUUUUUUAAAUUUAUUUUUUAAUUGAUAAUUCUUGGGUGUUUCUCACAGAGGGGGAUUUGGCAGGGUCAUGGGACAAU